rnacentral:sRNA from 1 species
AAACAAUUUUGUUUGGAAGAAAUCCUACUUUCUCUAUGAAAAAUUGGUGGGUGGUCGGUGGAGUGGAGCGGAGGGGCUCGCUAUUCAAGUCAGCGGCAGUGUAGGUACCUGAACUGCACAGCCUUUCAUCUCUUCCGAUUGUCAGGGACAUUCCUCAACAAUGAUGAUGGACAAAAACAUGGUGGGAGCGCAAAAAACAAAGCCGGAACUGUGCAAAAAGUCGGAGCGAAAGCCAUAGUGUUUAAUUGGCUGAACCCAAUGAAAAAUUCAAUAAAAGUUAACAAAAUUGAUUUCGUUUAAAUAAAACCUUUGUCCGGCGCAAUAGAGCAUGCCUGAAUGAUAAUAAAAUAGUAAUAACGGACACAAAGGGAAUGUAAAAUUCAUUAAAUUGAAAUUUUUCUGGUUGCUCACGGCUCACAUUCUUGCCGGCCCCAAGCCCCCAAACCAAAGAAAACCAGCCACAAAAAGGACACUUGGGCAGUUGGCCCCAACCGAAUAGGGCAAACGCUGCUCGACGCUGCUCCGUUCGCUCGAGAGAGUUGCGAUUCCCGACCGUAACAAACAGGAAAUGAACGGAACGCCACGUUGAUGGAGAGAAGAAAGAGCGGCAAGAAAAAAGUCGUAUAUUUCAAACGGAAAUGUGUUCAAUUUUAAAAAUAGCACAAAUACACAAAAAACAGUCAAUUCAAUGCUAUAGAGGGGCACAGCACACACACACACACACACACACACACAUGCCACAGGAAGCAGAAAUGGAGAAGAUAGCCCCCAUUUGAUAAAUGGACGAUUCGGAAAUACCCUUCACAAAUUUGUUCGCAUCUGAAUCUGAAGGAAACUGAAGGAAACAAAUGAAAAUCGCAGGCCUCAAAAAUAAUGGUCCCGCAAUUUUACGAAAAUCUUGAGAAAAUGCCAGAAAAUAGAUUUAAAAUUAUAUGAAUAAAAACUAGCAACUAAAUCCGAAUUCAUUAGGAGUUCAGAUAAUGAAAGCCAAUUAAAGAAUAUUCAUUUUUAAUUCGGUUAAUCCUUCAUGGGCUAACUCGUGUGAGGGACACUAUUUCUCGGCAGAGUAUGGCCAAGAAAUGGCAGCAGGUAACGUCAGCGGCUAAAACAGGGCGCAGUGGCAGCCAACAAAGCACAAAACAAACUGCAACAAAAUGAAACCAGCAGAAAACAAACCGAGGCCAACACGCCGAGCACGUAGACUGGCCAGCGAACCAAGAGCCAGCGAACCGAGCUUGAAAAGUUAACAAAAACAGGGCAAAAAGAGGAAAGAGACCAGACAGACAGACAGACAGAUAGACGGACAGUGAGGGAGAGCGGGAGAGAGGCAGAGCGCUUCAGUCGAGACAUUUGCGACCAUUGUUGGCCGUGACAGAGACCAGCCAAGUGGCGGUCCAUUGUGUGGCCGGACUGGAUGACUGGACGGCACUGUAAAGAGAAGUAGUGGAGAGGACUGGAACUGGACCAGCUGGACCAGCUGGACGGAACGAGACGGCAGCCGGCAAGCGGACGUUCACAUGAACGCCAUCGUCGAGCAUCCGCUUGGCUCCCAUCUCCAUCUCCAUCUCCUAUCUCCCAUCCAAGUGGGGGCACUUGGAAUGUCAAUUGAAUCAUCUUGGUCCGGAAUGGAAUGCUUUAUACAGCUUUUCCCAAUUGAACUUUUGAAAGACUGUUUCGGCAAACGCAAUUAGAAUGCCACAGGUCAGCACACGUGCCACGCAAUGGUGCCACCGCGCGCGGCGGAACCCUCCAAAAUGAGAACUAUGAACUAUUGCGAGGGUGUCUGCGUCUUGGGUCUGGGAAACUGUCAGGCACAGCGCUGAUUGUCAUUCAUUAUGCAAUCAAUAUUGAUUGCUUCACGGCUCGCGGAAAAUGCUGAAAAGUGACUUGCCAAUUUUCACGACGCAGCGCAUCGCAUCGCAUCGCAUCGAAUGGGUAAAGUCAAGAGGAAAAGUUAUUCAAGUGUCACUGGAGGUGGGAAAGUGUUUGCGGCGAAUACCCUCUACAGUAUGAACCAUUCGAUGGGGGGCUGAGAAUAUCCCUGGGUACUUCUGGGGUCUGUACAUCCGUCAGUGCGUUGCUGCCGGCACUUUGAUGCCGCACUCCAGUGACAUUUUUCAUGCUGUGUCGCGUACGCUGAUUGAUGAAUGAAUAAACGAAUCAACGAAUGAAGGAAUGAACGAGCGAACGAGCGAAUGGCACGGCACGGCAGGGCACGGCACAACUUUUCAACCGUAAAAAUAUGUCAAGUGGACAGGCCGAAGAAGAAGUGAACGCCUCCCACCCGAAGAUCCAGAGCAGAGACACAUACUGGGCUUCAAAAUAAAUGACUUUUCGAUUCGGUUUCCCCAAUCAAAUCACAUGUGCGUCCAGCCCAGAAACACACACAACUUGACUCAAAAAACUAAUUUCCCAACAACUGUGACGCCUCCGCAGCUGGGACCAUGACGAUGCGGACGACCACAGGAGAACAUAAAUCAAUCUGGAACUACAUCAAACUGUGGGGAGCGGAGCAGAACUGAACCGCCCACUACUCCAAAUCGUCUCCAGUUCGCAACCCGGGAUAUCCGCGAGGUCCAUAAGGCCCGGGCCAUCCGGGAGGUCCUACAGGACCAGGUACACCGGGUAUACCGAUAAGUCCGGGAGGUCCUACAGGACCAGGUUCACCGGGUAUACCGAUAAGUCCGAGAGGUCCUACAGGACCAGGUAUACCGGGUAUACCGAUAAGUCCGGGAGGUCCUACAGGACCAGGUACACCGGGUUUACCGAUAAGUCCGGGAGGUCCUACAGGGCCAGGUACACCGGGUAUACCGAUAAAUCCGGGAGGUCCUACAGGACCAGGCAGACCGGGUAUACCGAUAAGUCCGGGAGGUCCUACAGGACCAGGUUCACCGGGUAUACCGAUAAGUCCGGGAGGUCCUACAGGACCAGGCAGACCGGGUAUACCGAUAAGUCCGGUAGGUCCUACAGGAUCAGGUUCACCGGGUAUAUCGAUAAGUCCGGGAGGUCCUACAGGACCUGGUACACCGGGUGUACCCAUAAGUCUAAUAUCGGCGGUCCGUCCGGGAGGUCCAAGCCUAUUUUGCUUCAAUAUUUCAUCUAAUUUCAAUGUAAUCACCUCAAGUUUGCGUGUCGUUUCGGUUUUGAAGAUAUCAAACUCCUUUAAAUUUAAUAAAUAAAUGAAUAAAUUAUCGCCGAA